AUGAAAAAACGCCGCGGAUCUUCAAAGGGGCAUGAUACACACAAGGGGAAACCAGUGAAGACCGGGAGCCCUACGUUCAUCAGAGAGCUCCGGAGUAGGACUUUUGACAGCUCAGAUGAAGUGAUUCUGAAGCCCACUGGAAAUCAACUGACUGUGGAAUUCCUGGAAGAAAAUAGCUUCAGUGUGCCCAUCCUGGUCUUGAAGAAGGAUGGGUUGGGCAUGACGCUGCCCUCGCCAUCAUUCACUGUGAGGGAUGUUGAACACUAUGUUGGUAAGACACUACAGACCCUUUUAAUUGUAACAUUGUUCAUUCCUGUCAAGAUCUGUGUCCCUUCCCCUCAAAUCUGUUUUUGCAUUUCCUCUCUAACCAUCUUGGGAAUCUGAGGUGAAAUGCCUUGUCCAAAGUCAUUCUUCGGCAGAGAGAGCCAACAUCCUAGUCUCCUGUUCUCCUUUCAUUCACUCAUUCGUUUAUCAGAGACAGGGUCACGCCCUGUUGCCCAGGCUAGAGUACAGUGGCGUGAUUAACUCACUGCAACCUCCACCUCCUCCUGGGCUCCAGGGAUCCUCACACCUCAGCCUCCCGAGUAGUUGAGACUACAGGGAUGCACCACCAUGCCUAGCUAGUUUUGUUUAUUUUUUGUAGAGAUGACGUCACGCUAUGUUGCCCAGGCUAAUCUCCAACUACUGGGCUCAAGCGAUCCUUCUACCUCGGCCUCCCAAAGUGCUGGGAUUACAGGUGUGAGCCACCACGCCCAGCUCCUUCUCCUUUUAAUAGUCUAUACAACCCUAGGUUGAACUCCGUUUUUUACCUGGGAAGUUCUAGGGAUCAUUUUCUGUCUUCUUUUGAAAUGAGAAAGCUUUUGACUGUGGCUCUCACAUGCCACUUGUUAUCUGGGCAUGAGAUUCUGUGGAGAGGAUGAGAAGAAAUGGAGAAGCAAGGCCCAGGCAGGUGGACUACUAUGUGUGAAGCUGUGUGUCAGGUAGUUCCAUUGCCCUAGCAGGGCACAUAGAUCUAAGGAAAGUGUGAUCCGUUCCUACCCCUGCCCCCCAAACAAACACACACAUAUACAUACAGUGUCGGUGGAGAGAAGCUUUGAGUGUAAGGCCAUUCUAGGGACUCAUGAGGGGACAAGAGAGUCUUCCACAGUCUCUGAGACUACUUGGUGCAGAACCUAUCUCUUUACUCCAGGUUCUGACAAAGAGAUUGAUGUGAUUGAUGUGACCCGCCAGGCUGACUGCAAGAUGAAGCUUGGUGAUUUUGUGAAAUAUUAUUACAGCGGCAAGAGGGAGAAAGUCCUCAAUGUCAUUAGUUUGGAAUUCUCUGAUACCAGGUAAGAGGUGCAGGAAUAACAAACCUGACAAAGUGCCUGAAACUUGUGUGAUAUAUCUAGUGUAC
rnacentral:lncRNA from 1 species